rnacentral:rRNA from 1 species
UACGAAGGGUGCAAGCGUUACUCGGAAUUACUGGGCGUAAAGGGAGCGUAGGCGGAUAGUUUAGUCAGAGGUGAAAUCCCGGGGCUCAACCUCGGAACUGCCUUUGAUACUGGCUAUCUUGAGUAUGGGAGAGGUGUGUGGAACUCCGAGUGUAGAGGUGAAAUUCGUAGAUAUUCGGAAGAACACCAGUGGCGAAGGCGACACACUGGCCCAUUACUGACGCUGAGGCUCGAAAGCGUGGGGAGCAAACAGG